GACGAACGCUGGCGGCGUGCUUAACACAUGCAAGUCGAACGGAAAGGCCCUGCUCUUGUGGGGUGCUCGAGUGGCGAACGGGUGAGUAACACGUGAGUAACCUGCCCUUGACUUUGGGAUAACUUUAGGAAACUGGGGCUCAUACAGGAUAGGAGCUCCUGCUGCAUGGUGGGGGUUGGAAAGUUUCGGCGGUUGGGGAUGGACUCGCGGCUUAUCAGCCUGUUGGUGGGGUAGUGGCUUACCAAGGUUUUGACGGGUAGCCGGCCUGAGAGGGUGACCGGCCACAUUGGGACUGAGAUACGGCCCAGACUCCUACGGGAGGCAGCAGUGGGAAGUAUUGCACAAUGGGCGGAAGCCUGAUGCAGCAACGCCGCGUGCGGGAUAACGGCCUUCGGGGUGUAAACCACUUUCGCCUGUGACGAAGCGUGAGUGACGGUAAUGAGUAAAGAAGCACCGGCUAACUACGUG
rnacentral:rRNA from 1 species